CCACCACUAAGCCAGUGGUGAACUCCACAUACGCAUCCUUUGCUGAGGAUACGGUUAACGGAGCGAAAGCGACGUUCAACCGCAAAAGAAGCAGAGGGGGCUUAGUGGUGGGGUGACUGCGUACCUUUUGUAUAAUGGGUCAGCGACUUAUAUUCUGUAGCAAGGUUAACCGAAUAGGGGAGCCGGAGGGAAACCGAGUCUUAACCGGGCGUUAAGUUGCAGGGUAUAGACCCGAAACCCGGUGAUCUAGCCAUGGGCAGGUUGAAGGUUGGGUAACACUAACUGGAGGACCGAACCGACUAAUGUUGAAAAAUUAGCGGAUGACCUGUGGCUGGGGGUGAAAGGCCAAUCAAACCGGGAGAUAGCUGGUUCUCCCCGAAAGCUAUUUAGGUAGCGCCUCGUGAAUUCAUCUCCGGGGGUAGAGCACUGUUUCGGCUAGGGGGCCAUCCCGGCUUACCAACCCGAUGCAAACUGCGAAUACCGGAGAAUGUUAUCACGGGAGACACACGGCGGGUGCUAACGUCCGUCGUGAAGAGGGAAACAACCCAGACCGCCAGCUAAGGUCCCAAAGUCAUGGUUAAGUGGGAAACGAUGUGGGAAGGCCCAGACAGCCAGGAUGUUGGCUUAGAAGCAGCCAUCAUUUAAAGAAAGCGUAAUAGCUCACUGGUCGAGUCGGCCUGCGCGGAAGAUGUAACGGGGCUAAACCAUGCACCGAAGCUGCGGCAGCGACGCUUAUGCGUUGUUGGGUAGGGGAGCGUUCUGUAAGCCUGUGAAGGUGGCCUGUGAGGGUUGCUGGAGGUAUCAGAAGUGCGAAUGCUGACAUAAGUAACGAUAAAGCGGGUGAAAAGCCCGCUCGCCGGAAGACCAAGGGUUCCUGUCCAACGUUAAUCGGGGCAGGGUGAGUCGACCCCUAAGGCGAGGCCGAAAGGCGUAGUCGAUGGGAAACGGGUUAAUAUUCCCGUACUUGGUGUUACUGCGAAGGGGGGACGGAGAAGGCU
rnacentral:rRNA from 1 species